AUUGAACGCUGGCGGCAGGCUUAACACAUGCAAGUCGAGCGAGCGGCGGACGGGUGAGUAAUGUGUGGGGAACUGCCCGAUAAGGGGGGAUAACUACUGGAAACGGUGGCUAAUACCGCAUACUAUCGGAUGAACCCAUAUGGGAUUAGCUGGUAGGUGGGGUAAGGGCUCACUUAGGCGACGACCCCUAGCUGGUCUGAGAGGAGGACAAGCCAAACUGGAACUGGGACACGGCCCAGACUCCUACGGGAGGCAGCAGUGGGGAAUAUUGCACAAUGGGCGAAAGCCUGAUGCAGCCAUGCCGCGGGUAUGAAGAGGGCCUUGGGGUUGUAAAGUACUUUCAGCGGGGAGGCGUUACCCGCAGAAGAAGCACCGGCUAACUCCGUGCCAGCAGCCGCGGUAAUAC
rnacentral:rRNA from 1 species